UACGUAGGGCGCAAGCGUUAUCCGGAAUUAUUGGGCGUAAAGAGCUCGUAGGCGGUUUGUCGCGUCUGCCGUGAAAGUCCGGGGCUCAACUCCGGAUCUGCGGUGGGUACGGGCAGACUAGAGUGAUGUAGGGGAGACUGGAAUUCCUGGUGUAGCGGUGAAAUGCGCAGAUAUCAGGAGGAACACCGAUGGCGAAGGCAGGUCUCUGGGCCACUACUGACGCUGAGAAGCGAAAGCAUGGGGAGCAAACGGG
rnacentral:rRNA from 1 species